UUUGAGGAUGGAAUUCAAACGAGGACAAAGUCAAACACAUUAGAUCAGUUCUAUUCGAUGUCUGUGCAUUUUGAAAUUCAAAAAGAUCAUCUGGUACACUGUCCGAUUUUACUUUGGUACACUGUCCCGUAAGGAAUCUCUUGGUUGGUAGUGCAUUGUUAAAGAAAGAUGUUAUGGUGAUGGAAAAUAAGACUUGGAAUCUAUUGGUUGGUAGUGCAUGGCUUGAUAGUAUUAAGACAGAGACUAUAUGAGGAUGAGA
rnacentral:lncRNA from 1 species